CUGUCGAGCCCACAUCUCGGGGUGGCAUCGUUGCUCUGCCUGUGUCUCCAAACAUUUGCCUGCGGGUGAAGCCUGUCACCAAAAAUCAUCAGUCAGCGACUUUGACUCGCACCAUACUUGGGCUGGCACCAGCUGACAAAAGGUUGAAGUGGCUGGAGGUGCGUGACUGCGAGUUGACUGAAGCUCAGCUGCUAGAGGCGGUAGCUGUGAUACAAAGCAAGGGCCUCAGGACGCUCUUCCGUGGCAAGCAAAUCCAUGGGGGGCCCAGCAGAGUGCUGACUAUUCGAGAGAAGAAUUACGUGUUCAUUCUAACCGGUGUACCACCGCUGCUACCGCUGGCAGAAUCAAG